GAUCAUGGCUCAGAACGAACGCUGGCGGCAGGCCUAACACAUGCAAGUCGAGCGCGCCCUUCGGGGUGAGCGGCGGACGGGUUAGUAACGCGUGGGAACGUACCCUUUGGUAGGGAAUAGCCACUGGAAACGGUGAGUAAUACCCUAUGAGCCCUUCGGGGGAAAGAUUUAUCGCCAAAGGAUCGGCCCGCGUUAGAUUAGGUAGUUGGUGGGGUAAUGGCCUACCAAGCCUACGAUCUAUAGCUGGUUUUAGAGGAUGAUCAGCAACACUGGGACUGAGACACGGCCCAGACUCCUACGGGAGGCAGCAGUGGGGAAUCUUGGACAAUGGGGGCAACCCUGAAUCCAGCCAUGCCGCGUGAGUGAAGAAGGCCUUAGGGUCGUAAAGCUCUUUCGCCUGUGAAGAUAAUGACGGUAGCAGGUAAAGAAACCCCGGCUAACUCCGUGCCAGCCGCCGC
rnacentral:rRNA from 1 species